rnacentral:rRNA from 1 species
UACGUAGGGUGCAAGCGUUUGUCCGGAAUUAUUGGGCGUAAAGAGCUCGUAGGCGGUUUGUCGCGUCUGCUGUGAAACGCGAGGCUCAACCUCGCGCCUGCAGUGGGUACGGGCAGACUGGAGUGGCGGUAGGGGAGAUUGGAAUUCCUGGUGUAGCGGUGGAAUGCGCAGAUAUCAGGAGGAACACCGAUGGCGAAGGCAGAUCUCUGGGCCGUAACUGACGCUGAGGAGCGAAAGCGUGGGAGCGAACAGG